AUACUCACUUCAGCAGCAUGUACACUAAAAUUGGAGUGACACAGAGAAGUUUAGUAUGUCCCCAUGCAAGGAUGACAUGCAAAUUCAUGAAGUGUUCCAUAUUUUU
ensembl:snRNA U6 U6 spliceosomal RNA